UGAGUUGUUCCUGUGUAGAAACAGUUGGAGCAUCUGCUGCUGAAGUUCUCUCCUGAGGAGGUGGAGUCUAAACGCUGGCAGAAGAUAGCUGACGCCCUGGGCAACAGGACCGCUAAACAGGUGGCCAGCCGCGUUCAGAAGUACUUCAUCAAACUGACUAAAGCAGGAAUCCCUGUUCCUGGGAGGACCCCCAACAUGUGCAUGUACAGCAAGAAGGUGUCCAAUAAGAGGCAGCACCACCUGAACAAGCACCUGUACCGACCGUCUACCUUCCUGACGUCAUAUGAGCCUCCGUCUUUAUGGAAGAAGAGGAUGAGAGAGCGGCCUACUACAGCUCCCUGCAGGACCCCGAUGGAGACGA